GAUGAACGCGGGCGGCGUGCCUAACACAUGCAAGUCGAGCGAGGGUUUGCUCAGUAUUGAGUAUUCUAAGACUAGAAUGUUCAAUUCUGAGCAAAACCAAGCGGCGGACGGGUGAGUAACGCGUGGGUAACCUGCCCUAUACACAUGGAUAACAUACUGAAAAGUUUACUAAUACAUGAUAAUAUAUGUUGCGGCAUCGCAGAUAUAUCAAAGUGUUAGCGGUAUAGGAUGGACCCGCGUCUGAUUAGCUAGUUGGUGAGAUAACUGCCCACCAAGGCGACGAUCAGUAGCCGACCUGAGAGGGUGAUCGGCCACAUUGGAACUGAGACACGGUCCAAACUCCUACGGGAGGCAGCAGUGGGGAAUAUUGCACAAUGGGCGAAAGCCUGAUGCAGCAACGCCGCGUGAACGAUGAAGGUCUUCGGAUCGUAAAGUUCUGUUGCAGGGGAAGAUAAUGACGGUACCCUGUGAGGAAGCCCCGGCUAACUACGUGCCAGCAGCCGCGGUAAUACGUAGGGGGCUAGCGUUAUCCGGAUUUACUGGGCGUAAAGGGUGCGUAGGUGGUCCUUCAAGUCGGUGGUUAAAGGCUACGGCUCAACCGUAGUAAGCCGCCGAAACUGGAGGACUUGAGUGCAGGAGAGGAAAGUGGAAUUCCCAGUGUAGCGGUGAAAUGCGUAGAUAUUGGGAGGAACACCAGUAGCGAAGGCGGCUUUCUGGACUGCAACUGACACUGAGGCACGAAAGCGUGGGUAGCAAACAGG
rnacentral:rRNA from 1 species